rnacentral:lncRNA from 1 species
GUCUCCAGGAGCCCUUAGAGACAGAGUCCCCGGCAGCGGCGGUGACGGCAGGGGCAGCGCACCGGCAGGCGAGUGAGCACCGAGCGGCGGGCGCAGAUUCAUUCCAUCACCUAAAACCUGGUAACGGUGGGCCACACAGAGUCUCACGGGUUUGUUAUGGUACCACCUGCUGGAACCAGCUCCUCCGGCUGCCUCUCUGGGAACACAGGACACAAAGUCUGGCUUUUCCCUCUUCCCUGUGUCCUCUUUUGUGGGUCCGCACUUCUCCACUCCCAACCCCCAGAUGAUAGAAUCCUAGAACCCCAGAGUUGGAGGAGACUGCUGAGAUCAUGCAGUUCAGUGGUUUUCAAACUCGGCUCUCUGCUUUUCUAGCUCAGGGACUCCUUAGAGGGAAGGAUGGAAAGAUCCCAAGCCCCUAUCCUGCUCUGGUCACCACUGGCUGCUGAAAACUACUCAUCUGGGAGAAGAGAGUCCAGAGUUCGAUGUCAGACUUGUGGUUGAGUCUGAGCUACUACUCUGCUCACCUCCCUGUGUGACUCUGGGAAAGUUGCCUUACCUCUCUGAGCCCAGUUUCCUUUUCUGUCAAAGGGGUGAUAAUACCUGCCUCACAGAGCUGUUGGGGGCCUGGAUGAGGUCAUGUCUGUAAAGUCCUCGUCCCAGUGCCUGGCACACAGGCACUGCUGCAAAGGUUAGCUGUGACUAGGACACUGCACGGCGCAGCUUGUGAGACAUAAUUAAGACACAGCUUUCUUCUUGUCUCUCACUGUGCCUUUAAAGUUGAUUCACUGGGGUGUGUUUUUCCCCAUUUCCUGAUAAAAACUUGAUCAGGCCUAUGACGUUUCUGGUUACUCUUAGGUAACAAAAAGUCCUAUGGCCCCUAUAAGUGACACACACGCCGCAUACUUUCUGGAAAUUGGAAGUGCUCACUUUAGUCUAUGAACGGUCAGUGUUUACUCCAAGAGAAGACUUCCCUCCAUCUUGCCCACCAUUCCAGGCCUGCCCAGGUGAGGCAGAGAGAGAGGAAAGUUCUUACCUGACCACUGUUGUCAUGCCUGGCACUGGGUUCUCUGAGCCUGGCUGGUGGGUGAGUGGACUCUCUUUUGCUUUCCUGGCUGUUUCCACGGCUGUCCUGAGGACUCCCGCACCAGCACGUUCCACCAGGACCUCCCGGGAUUUGGGCAGUGCCUCUCCUUCUGGUUGCUUCCAUCCUCCAGCAACUUCUGGUUCCCAUACAGAUUCUCUCUUUGGGGUUCCCUCACCCUCAGUCUGAAGCCCCGGUGGGUAGAGCCUGUUUCAAAGAGACCAGAGCUGGCAUUCCUGGUGCCCUUUAACCCCCCAUCAGGGGAGGGGGCGAGCAGUCCCUUUCUUCUACUCUGUCACCUUAUAUUGCUUCAGCUCCCCUCCCACAUUUUGGUCCCUCAAGCAGGUGUCACAUACCAACCCCCAAACUCGAGGAGCCCUCCAGGUGCUGCCUUUGAAACUCUUGUCUCCAGGUUUGAGAUGAAAAGCGGACUCCCACCACUCCACCCACCUCGGGGAGGCCAGGAAUCAAAGCAUUUCCGAGGACUCUGCCCCACAAAAUCCUCCAUCACUUUCCACUGUCCUGAACCUGUUUAUAUCCUCCUUAUGGACCUUUGAGGCAGCUAGGUCAACUUCUUAGAAAUUUCCAUAUAGUGUCUGGCCCCAGCUUUGGAAUUUCCCAUCUGUUGAAUCGUGUUGCCACAAUGGAAACUUCCACUUGAGCAUCUUGUUAUAUUAACUGUUGGCCCAGUUCAAGGAACUCCUCUGUAACACCCUGAAAAGCGGUCCUUUAGCCUGUGCUUGAAAACUGCCCAGGCAUGGCAAGCUCCCUCCCUCCCAAGAAGCAUCCCAUUCCGAUUUUCAGAUGCUUGGAGUUGUUGGAAAGAUGCUGCUCCCAUGAAGCCAAGCCUGAGUCCCCGUAACCUUCCCUUUGAUGGGAUCAGAAGUGUGCACGUGAGGCUCGUCCGAGAAAAUCUGACUGGGCUGCAGGGAUUCGAGUGGCAGCCAGGUUUGCACCAACACUCUGUUCUCUAAGACCACAGGGAAGCCUCUGACCUUGUCUCUGGGCCAGUUUUCUUUGCUGUCAUGCCAACAGCACAUAACCCCAACAGAAAGCUAGUAUUGGGAAACUCUGUGCUCAAGCACCAUUUCUCAUGCUCAUUACCCUAACAUCCUUUCUCUUGAUCUGAGAGCUGAUUUGCCUUCCUUCAUGGGGGCAUCUGGAUCAGGGGUCCAUCCACAGUUGAUGAACUCUCCAAAAUCAAGCCUUGCCGAAUGUGCCCUACUGCCCUCCAAAGACACCCCAUCCCUGCUUUUUUGCAGUUUUUCUCAUAUGUUUAAGUGUCCUUUGGACUCAGCUGGUUGGUUUGCCUCCUCCCCAGCAUUGUGAACUGGGCCUCUCUGCCAGGUGACCUUCUUUGUCAUGUGCAAGUUGGGCCACUGUGACGGUGGAUCCCACAACAAGUCGGUAACUCUGUGUUCAUGUUCCCCACCCCAUGGUGAAGGCAGCGUCUCAGAUGAGCAAGCGACAUGUGCUAGCAAGACGCUUGGGUCAGCUAAAGUUGAAGUCACUUUGGGGACAAUGGCCUAAGAAAAUACUAAAUGCGUUUUGGGUCGUUCCAUCAUGGACUGGUUCCCCUGGCAAGUCUCAGCCUUAUGUAUCCAGAUGUGAACCUGGUUUACAUGCUAGUGUUACUUUUCAUGCUGUCUACAAAGACGGUGAGAUGCAGCUCCCUCCCUCUCUCCCCCGCCCCUAUGCCCUCCCUCCUGCCCAGAUGAUGCUGGAGACAGAGGCCCGGAGGGCAGAAUUCAUCUCCCCUAGCACUGCUCACCUAUCUUCUUCUCUUGGCCUGAAAGAAUAUAGUGAUUUUUACUGGGCCAUUCAAAAAUCUCUAUGUGAAAUAGCUAACGGGCCGUUACUGAAAACAAACUUUCUAUCAAUAUUUGUGUACGUUUUACAGUAGGGAGGUGGCAUAGUAUAAGCAGAGAGACUAGAGUUCAGACCAUUCCUCAGCUGCUUGAGAUGCUUUGGGCAGAGUGGUUUAGCAUCUUUGUGCUUCAGUUUCCUCAUCUGUUAAAUGGGGAUAAUGACAGUUGCCUUGCAAGAGGGCUGUAUUAAAGGAACCAAUGAAUGUAAUGAAUUCAGCACAGUGGCCUGUCACAUAGUAUAUACUCAAUAAAUGGGCUAUUAUCAUUGUUUGC